AUUGGCUACAUAGGCCUACACUAAGUUGUUGGCGAGUACAGAGAUCUCGGGUGAUUUUCUAAAUCGAUGACUCUUAAUGCUUACCGUGAUGCCUUACAAGAGACAGCCUUAAAUACGAGCUACUUUUUGCAACCAUGAUGACAUCUAUAGAAAAGAAGUUCAUUUUCAUAUUUCUUGUGCAAUUCAUGGCAGACAGCACAGAACCAAUUUCCUUAACCAUUUCCUCUAAGCAGAAUUAUAUAGUGAUAACAGUAGCCUCAUUGCUUAUUUACUGCAUCUAUGCUAAAAAAUGUGAAGAUUUAAGACAACUUCUAA